rnacentral:rRNA from 1 species
GAUGCAAGUCGAGCGGAGAAUGCGGACAUGUUUACAUGAAAGUAUUCUUAGCGGCGGACGGGUGAGUAACACGUGGGUAACCUGCCUCAAAGUGGGGGAUAGCCUUCCGAAAGGAAGAUUAAUACCGCAUAAGCCUACAGUACCGCAUGGUACAGCAGGAAAAGGAGCAAUCCGCUUUGAGAUGGACCCGCGGCGCAUUAGCUAGUUGGUGAGGUAACGGCUCACCAAGGCCACGAUGCGUAGCCGACCUGAGAGGGUGAUCGGCCACAUUGGAACUGAGACACGGUCCAGACUCCUACGGGAGGCAGCAGUGGGGAAUAUUGCACAAUGGGCGAAAGCCUGAUGCAGCAACGCCGCGUGAGUGAUGAAGGCCUUCGGGUCGUAAAGCUCUUUGAUCAGGGAUGAUAAUGACAGUACCUGAAAAACAAGCCACGGCUAACUACGUGCCAGCAGCCGCGGUAAUACGUAGGUGGCGAGCGUUGUCCGGAAUUACUGGGCGUAAAGGAUGCGUAGGUGGAUACUUAAGUGGGAUGUGAAAUCCCCGGGCUCAACCCGGGAACUGCAUUCCAAACUGGGUAUCUAGAGUGCAGGAGAGGAAAGCGGAAUUCCUAGUGUAGCGGUGAAACGCGUAGAUAUUAGGAGGAACAUCAGUGGCGAAGGCGGCUUUCUGGACUGUAACUGACACUGAGGCAUGAAAGCGUGGGUAGCAAACAGGAUUAGAUACCCUGGUAGUCCACGCCGUAAACGAUGGGUACUAGGUGUAGGAGGUAUCGACCCCUUCUGUGCCGUCGUUAACACAAUAAGUACCCCGCCUGGGGAGUACGGUCGCAAGACUAAAACUCAAAGGAAUUGACGGGGGCCCGCACAAGCAGCGGAGCAUGUGGUUUAAUUC